AUCAGAGGAUAUUUGUGCAUAUCCAUUCUCUUCUUCCUCCAAGUGGGUUCACAAUGUAACUCCAAUGAUCAGUCUUAAGACCAACCUUAGAAAUAGAAGUGCACAAUGAAGAUUGUAUAAACAGAACUGCUGAAGGGUACUAUCAAAACAACUAAGCUCCUGAAAGAGGCAGUAGGCAGUUGAUCUGCCUUUAGGAACCUCAGGCUCACUGAGCUGCCUGGAAGAAACAUUCUCCCAGCUUUACAGCUACUGGCGAUUACAUCAGCAAUCUCCAGGUUUCCAGUUUUUGUGAGCUGUCACCCAUCCUGGAGUAGACUUUUGGUGAUGCAUCUGUCUUUGAGUGACAUCUGCUCCUCGAGGGCACAGCAGAAUGUCUGAUGAUCAGAACAAGCAGAACUUAAACAGGAGACGAUCAACAUUGGGAAAUACUAUACAGACUGACAGAACAGUCAAAAAGGAACUACACCUCUAGAGUAUCUGAGAAGACUUCCACAAGGAAGACGGUCAUCCGACAGGCAAAGUGGCAGAACUGUGUAGCUGAGCUCCGCCCACUCAGAAGAGUUGUAACAAACAAGUGUCUACAAGCUGCCCAGAGAUGUACACAGAUGAAAAGAAAUCCUCCCAGAUUCUUCCACUUUCAUCCCCUCCCUGAUCCCCACAGGCCACCAUUGACUAUGGCAAAUUUUAUAAUUUGG